rnacentral:rRNA from 1 species
UUCAACGGGCCGCGGUUACCCUAACCGGUGCGAAGGUAGCAUAAUCACUUGUUCUUUAAAUGGGGACUCGUAUCAAUGGCAUCACGAGGGUUAAACUGUCUCCUUUCUCCAAUCAAUUAAACUGAUCUUCCCGUGAAGAAGCGGGAAUAAAUAUAUAAGACGAGAAGACCCCAUGGAGCUUUAAACCCAGUUACACCUCUACUUCCUAUUUCAUUAUAACCUUUAGAAUCCUGUUUAUCUGGUUUUAGGUUGGGGUGACCGCGGAGCAUAAACUAGCCUCCACGAUGAACGGGACUAUUUCCCUCAUCUAAGAAUUACACUUCUAAGAAUUAGUAUUCUAACAUAAAAUGAUCCGAUACUCGAUCAACGAACCAAGUUACCCUGGGGAUAACAGCGCAAUCCACUUCAAGAGCCCCUAUCGACAAGUGGGUUUACGACCUCGAUGUUGGAUCAGGGUAUCCCAGUGGUGCAGCAGCUACUAAAGGUUCGUUUGUUCAACGAUUAAAACCCU